rnacentral:rRNA from 1 species
AACGAACGCUGGCGGCAGGCCUAACACAUGCAAGUCGAGCGAGGACUUCGGUCCUAGCGGCGGACGGGUGAGUAACGCGUGGGAACGUGCCCUUUGCUUCGGAAUAGCCCUGGGAAACUGGGAGUAAUACCGGAUGAGCCCUUUGGGGGAAAGAUUUAUCGGCGAAGGAUCGGCCCGCGUUGUAUUAGGUAGUUGGUGGGGUAAUGGCCUACCAAGCCGACGAUCCAUAGCUGGUUUGAGAGGAUGAUCAGCCACACUGGGACUGAGACACGGCCCAGACUCCUACGGGAGGCAGCAGUGGGGAAUCUUAGACAAUGGGGGAAACCCUGAUCUAGCCAUGCCGCGUGAGCGAUGAAGGCCUUAGGGUUGUAAAGCUCUUUCAGCUGGGAAGAUAAUGACGGUACCAGCAGAAGAAGCCCCGGCUAACUCCGUG